rnacentral:rRNA from 11 species
ACUUUCAUCACCAUCAGAUUAAAGGUAACAGAUCCCAUCUGAUCUUGGAAGCUAAGCAGGGUCACAGCUCUGGUUAGAACUUGGAUGGGAGGCUGCUAAUGAACACUAGGUGCUGUGAGCU